GAAAAUAACUAUGAUUCCCUUAGUAACGGCGAGUGAACAGGGAGAAGCCCAAAUUUGUAAUCUGGCACUUUUUACAAGUGUCCGAGUUGUAAUUUGUAGAACUGUUAUCCGUGCUGGACCAUGUACAAGUCUGUUGAAAAGCAGCAUCGUUGAAGGUGAAAAUCCUGUAGAUGAUAUGGACUACCAGUACUCUUGUGAUACGGUUUCUAAGAGUCGAGUUGUUUGGGAAUGCAGCUCAAAGUGGGUGGUAAAUUCCAUCUAAGGCUAAAUAUAAGUGAGAGACCGAUAGCAAACAAGUACCGUGAGGGAAAGAUGAAAAGAACUUUGAAAAUAGAGUUAACAGUACGUGAAAUUGCUGAAAGGUAAACGUUUGAAGUUAGUUUUGUAUUCGUUGGAUCAGCUUCGCAAGGAGUGUAUUCUGAUGAUAAGCAAGUCAACAUCAGUCUAUGAGUGUUGGAGAAGGGUUUUGAGAAUGUAGCAAUUUAAUUGUGUUAUAGCUUGAGACUUGGAUACAAUGCUUUGGAUUGAGGAACGCGUAGUAAGCUUUGAGCGGAUUCGAAAGGAUCUCCUUACUAUGGAUGUUGGUGAAAUAACUUUAAGCGACC
rnacentral:rRNA from 4 species